rnacentral:lncRNA from 1 species
GGUGCCAUUUCAAUCAGCACGAUCAUAAUCCGAUUCAGUGACUUGGUGAAGUUAGUGGGAGGAUUAUGGUCUACUGAUUGAUCUCUUCUUCUCUUAUCUCUUCUUAAAUUAAUUAAAUCUUCUAAAUUAUUAAGUUUCUAAAAUGAGCUGGUUAUGGUGAUAACUAGAUCAUAGCCUCUCAUUAAGUUGGAUGAUAAUGGAUCCAUUAGUAUAAUGAUCAUUGAAGGCCCAAAGGCCUGAUGUUCAUCUGCUAUUAGAAUUAUCAUUCA